AUACGUAGGGGGCAAGCGUUAUCCGGAUUUACUGGGUGUAAAGGGAGCGUAGACGGUGUGACAAGUCUGAUGUGAAAACCCGGGGCUCAACUCCGGGAUUGCAUUGGAAACUGCCAUACUUGAGUGCAGGAGAGGUAAGCGGAAUUCCUAGUGUAGCGGUGAAAUGCGUAGAUAUUAGGAGGAACACCGGCGGCGAAGGCGGCUUACUGGACUGUAACUGACGUUGAGGCUCGAAAGCGUGGGGAGCAAACAGGAUUAGAUACCCUGGUAGUCCGCACCGUAAACGAUGCAUACUGGGUGUCCGGGGGUUCCCCCGGGUACCGUAGCCAACGCGUUAAGUAUGCCGCCUGGGGAGUACGUACGCAAGUAUGAAACUCAAAGGAAUUGACGGGG
rnacentral:rRNA from 1 species